rnacentral:rRNA from 1 species
CAUCCUACGGGGCGCAGCAGUGGGGAAUAUUGGACAAUGGGGGAAACCCUGAUCCAGGGACGCCGCGUGAGUGUAGAAGUAUUUCGGUACGUAAAGCUCUAUCAGCAGGAAAGAAAAUGACGGUACCUGACUAAGAAGCCCCGGCUAACUACGAGCCAGCAGCCGCGGUAAUACGUAGGGGGCAAGCGUUAUCCGGAUUUACUGGGCGUAAAGGGAGCGUAGACGGCAGCGCAAGUCUGGAGUGAAAUGC